AGAAAGUUAGUCUAACUAAGACAGUUGAUUUCGACUCAACAGAUUAUAGCUUCUACCCUAUAACUUUCUA
rnacentral:tRNA from 2 species